rnacentral:rRNA from 1 species
UACGUAGGGGGCAAGCGUUGUUCGGAUUCAUUGGGCGUAAAGGGUGCGUAGGCGGCGAGGUUAGUCGGAUGUGAAAUCCCAGGGCUCAACCCUGGAACUGCAUUCGAUACUGCCUUGCUAGAGUACUGGAGAGGAGACUGGAAUUUACGGUGUAGCAGUGAAAUGCGUAGAUAUCGUAAGGAAGACCAGUGGCGAAGGCGAGUCUCUGGACAGUUACUGACGCUGAGGCACGAAGGCCAGGGGAGCAAACGGG